GCGGCGGCUGAGGGCUGUGCGGGCCCGGCCUGAGGGGACGAGCGGCGGCACCGGCACCGGGACAGGUAACGCACCGAGCCCCGGCACCGGCACCGAGACAGAUCCUUUUCCAAGGUAUCAAAUGCUUUCUUGAGCUGUGGAUUCCAGCAGUGGAUUCAAGCAUGGGACUGUCCUUUUCCUGUUCAGUCAGAUGAUCACAUCUGCCUGUGCAAUUAAUUGCCAGUUCAACUGAUUCUUUAUUGGGAUCCCCAAAGGCAUUUCAGAAUUGCUGUUCCCACUGCAAAACCAGGAAUAUCUUACUAUAAGGGGCAAGCAAAGUUAGUUAAUUGAUGGUAAAAAUCUUUUCAACUGGUUAGUGUUUUCUCAUGAAUCAGGCUAGACAUACUGUACAAAUUAAAAGCUUGGCCACAUUCAGAGGCAUCUGCUAUCAGGAAUGACCAGCAGGUCACCUGGAGUUUUCAACAGAAGGUGAAUUUAAUUUCAUUUCAGAGGCGAAUUACAGAUUUCCAUAGCAAAGCAAUACUCUAGCAAACAUUAAAUUGGAACCAAUUUUUAUUAGGAUUGACUUGCUGUGGUAGCCAGCCUAUUGUUUACAGGGCAAAAAUGCAACAGGGCAUCAAAUUAUUCUCUGGAAUUAAAUGAAGACAGAUACUAAAGAACUGAUUCUUUUUGCAAUGUUGAGAAAAAUAUACAAAGUAAAGAGUAAUGUUGGCCAUGGAAAUUUUCUGAGAAGGACAAAAAUAAAAGCUUUUAUUGUAAUUAAUAUGAGUCUAAUGUAACUUUGAAACUGAAUGAGAAGGAAACUGAAGAGAAGAACAGUAAUAACAAGAAAAAACAGAUGUUCUGUGACUAUCAGAGCACAGGGUUAUACACUGUAACUUGACACUUGACACAUUCAUUUUAGUAACUUAUCUAAAAAGUGUCUACAAGGAUUGCUGGAAGGAGAACCUACAAAGCAACCCCUGUCUUCCUGCUCUUCACACUGGGGUUUUUAAUUACUGUGGCAAUUGCUAGAGCUGCCUCUGCUGAUUUCUUACUUGUAUUGAUACGCCCGAUUCUGUGAGAUUAACUCAAAGGCCUUAUUUACCACCCUGUAAUUUUUCCCUCCUCUUAAUCUUUCCUUCUUUCUUUCCCUUAGGUAAUUUAAUUCUGUAAACCCCUGGAGAAUGCAACUGAGUCUAAAGACUAGUUUUAUUUAGACUCAAGAAAAAGCUUCACUGAUUUUUAUGUUUUGUGAUCAGAUUACCUGUACAUUUCAUUUGUAGGCUGGAACAAACUAUACGUGAUUUCUGUACCCUAAAUACUAGAUAUUUCUGAUUUUUGUUUUCUCCAAUGGAUUUUUAUUUUCUCCAAGGCUAUCUCAGUAACUGAGAAGUGAACAAUCCUAUUAAAACUGCUGAAGGAUUUAGAGAAAAAGCAGCCUAACACUUUGUCCCACUGGGAAGGUGUGCCUGGUACUGUACUGGCUCCAUCUUGUGGCUGGACCUGCACGGAUUCUUUAUAACAGGCUGACCCUUCUUGCCAUCAUUCUUAUAUAAAUAUUGAUCAAUAAGUGUGUGAACUUCCUUUAUAACUUUUAGGACAAAUGGCUCAAAUUUUUCUGGUGAUAGAGAAAUAGGGAGAGAGGUUGAAGACAAGAUUGGCCCCAGCAAGCAUUGCCCAGUUCCCAGUGCAGCAAUGUCAAUCCCAGUGCUGGGUACAUUCUCCUGCUUACUGUCAGAGCAGCCUCAGCCAGGCACAGGGAGAACAAGCAAAUACCAGCACUUUUUGAUUCCAACCUGCACUAAUGUUGCUGUGCAUUAUUAACCUGCUGUGGCCAGAAAAGCAAUUCACCAUUUACCUUCAAGAGUGGCCUCGAGUUUCUACCAAAACAUAAACACAGAUCAGUGUAGUUUAUUUUGGCAGCAUUCUUUUUUUCUAAAACAAAUAUUUUUUUUCAAAUGGUUGUCAUUAAACAAAAUGCUAGCAUUUGAAGGAAGAAAAAAGCAGAUACCUUUCAAUUAACCCUUUCCUGCCAUCCCUGGACUGUGUUCAGUAAAUGCCUCAAUUUGACUGCUCAACCACCCAAACCAUGAACUGAGCACAGGAAAGGACAAAACACACAGCAGGCUGCCAACACCUUGGCUUACUGACCACAUGGCUCAGCUAGUGCCUGCUUCAUGUCCCAGUCAUGUACGUUCAUCCUUUACUUGGUGUAUAGCACAACUAGGUGUUUUCUUCAGACUGCAGAAAAGUAAAUAGUUCACUUCUAGCACCUUCAGUGUUGGCAGCAGGAAGGCAGUGAGCUGCCAGGACAUGCUGGGUGUUCUGUUCUGUUGUGUAUCAGCUUGUGUGUUACAGGAUAGAGCUUCUAACAGGCACAUAGAAACAGCAUUCAUCUCUAAAGAUAUUGCCACAGUUGCAAGAUUGCAGAGAUCAAGAGAAUACAAAUUACAAUUGCAGAAACUGGUUGGUUACUGGGUAUGAGGCAGGAUAAGACUGGCUGCACCCAUGUUUUGGCAGUGUUAAUAUGAAAGACACAUCCCCUGAUCCAUAUGAUGUGAAAACAAAGAAAGUGCCUGUUUCCAAGGAGUCUCAAGCCCCAGCAAAAUGUGCAUGGCAAGAAAAGUCUCUCUUGCUAUGUCAUACAGAGCAUCCCUGCUAUCCAGGCUUGAGUAACAAAGCAGCUUUACCUUGUAGUGUUGUCACUGCAGGCCCCCAGCUGGGUAAUAAUUAGCAUUGACUCCAUGAUUCUCAGAAGGCUGAUCAAUCUCUUUAUUAUACUAUAGUUAUUAAGAAACCCAUCCCCCUUACAGCAGCCACAACACAGGUGGACCCCAUUGGUCCUUCAAUCUAAACACCAUCACCACUGGCCAAUUAAGAAAACCCUUUGGUAAACAAUUUUCCAUAACACAUUCCACAUGUUCACAACAACAGGUGCAGCAAGUGAAGAUAAGAAUUGUUUAUCAUUCUUUUCUCUGAUCUCCUCACAGCCUCUCUCAGGACAAUGCCUGGGAAAGCUGUGCUUUGCUCUCUGUGGCCAGAGAGCUGCUGCCACACAAUGUAGCUGCCAAUCUGGAAAAUAUUCUAAGUCUAAAAUUCCAUUUUGUAUCCCCUGCAGACAUGCUCAGAAAUCUGAAAAUAAGUACAGAUUUGCAAGACUGCCACAGUGAGUUAACAGUGUCAAAGUCUCACUCUCUCUGCUGCACAUCAUACCCACUGCAUAAAGCAAAUCCACUCAGAGCUGCACUGCAGUUUUAUGUGAAGGAUUCCUUGCUAGAUUUUGUACCGAGAAAAAAAAUCCUUGCGUUGCCACUUGGUGAGGAUGCACUUUGCACACCGUGCAUACCCGCUGUGCUCCGUGCUGCUGAAUGCCCUCUGUUCUGCUCUGCACUCACAGUCUCAGUGUUUGCUGGGCCUGCCACAGGCACUGCUGCAGCUCAGCCCAGGGAGGCAGUGCAGGAGAGGAGCGGGGUGGCCAGGCUGCAACCACAGCAUGAGCAGAGUUUGAAAUGACUGGAACAAGGGCGGGAGGAAGCCAUAAAAACUCUCUUACAUCUGCUCGAGACAGCAGCAUCCAGCACUACACACAAAAGUUACCAGAUGUGUGUCAUAGAAUGUAAUAACAAUUACUUAAAAUAAAGGCAGAGGUAAUGCUGCUGCUCCAUGUUCUGCAGUGUGCCAGGUUAGAGGGUUGUUGUCUGGUAACAGAAGGGGGAAAUGCAAAUAUUGCAAUGCCAUCUGAGCUGGUAUCUAAGCUCUAGAAAGGCCAGUGCUCAGGUGGGCCUUACCCACACCAGCUGGGGGUUACAGUCUUCAACAUCCUUCUCUGCAUCCAUAUAUUCCAGGAAAGUGGGGCUGAUGUUGGCAUACCAUGCAAAGGAACUGCCACAGGUGCCUUUGUCCUGUGCUUUUCUGAAACCCACUUUGCAUCCUAGGUUUUGUUUUUGUAGUCCCCGCUGUCCUUGGAAGACCCUGCUCUGCCAGAAAUAUCCACAUUUCAGUGCCUUUCUGGGGUGUCUCAAAAGAAAAGAGUCACCUGAGACCUCUGGAUGGCUCAGGGGCACAGGACACGGGACACAACCAAGCCAGCUGCUCUGGCAGCAGUGCACCAGCACAAGUCAACAUAACUCACAUUUGACCAGGAAACUGAUACUUGCUCUUGUGAGAGCUAAAGAAUUACAGAGCAGAGCAGGCAGCAUUAACUGUGUGGGCAGGGUGCAAAGCAGGGCAUGGAAAGUGACAGAACAGCCAUUGGAACCAGCAGAAUCCUGAGCAUCAGUCUCCAGAAACUUCCUGUGAGACACUUUGCUGCUGCUACAAACAAGAUUCUGCAACCCCUCGGAUAUUGUUACAAGAGGGAAAUGUGUCAUCUUAGCAGGGGGUAUGAAACACACCCACAGGCUGCUGAAGUUACUUUUCAUGUUCCAAGCUAUAUACUGUUCUCUCAGUCCUCUGUCUUGAAUUGUUCUUUUGAUACUUCUGCCAGUAUGGAUGGAAUGGGGGGAUGGGAACAGAGAUGAGAAGAACAGACUGUACAAAGUUUGACAAUCAUAACUAGCAUAAUCAUAAUCAUUAAUAUUCAUAUUAAGUUCCCAAUGCCUCACCUUGCUUCUGUGCUUCAUUCCAUAGCACAGUGGUGUGCUUUCUUUGUAGGUGGUUGGAAUUGCUUGGACCCACACCAGAAAUGGGGGAAAAAACGGAAGAACGAUCAAAUCAGUCCCACACAAAAAAAAAAGUCUUUAAUUCCUCAUUUCUACUGCCUUGACCAGUCAUACUGUACACCCACUGUGAGACUCAGACUGCUUUAAAAUAAUACAACUAAACAACCAAACCCAAAACAAAAAUAACCCCCAAACCUACAGCAUAAAAAUAGAAAUGAUUCAUUUACAGUUCCAGAGAUAUGUUUGUAUUGCAGCCUGUGACUAGGUUAGCCUUUGACAAACACUGGAGCUCUACAUCUACAAGAUUUAUAUGGUAUCUUUCUAGACAGUCUGGCUAUUAUUACAAAUUCUGCUGUUUAAUGACCGCAGUCAGCAGGGUUUUUAUGUGUGUAACGCAGCUCAUGGCAGCUUUCCCCCAGCAGAUGGCACGAGCACAGCCCUGAGCACCCCGACAGCUCCGCAGCUCCGGGCUGGGCAGCAGCUUUGAGCUCUCAGCUACGGCUACACUUCUCAUUUCCUUCAGAGCUUUUAUUUGGGUUUUAACGGAGGCAAGGUUUCUACUACGAGGCUGAAUAAAAAGUGGCAUUACGUCAUUUCUAGGACCGGUUUUAUCUCUGUCAUUUCUGCUUUCUGGAGAAGAGAAAAUUCACCAUUGCUGAAAAAUUUGACCCACAGACAAAAUGAAUAGCAAACAUUACACAAAAUGGGGUUUGAUUUGCAGAAAGUAUGUGUAAAAUACUAAUAUACGUAUCUGAAACGUGCAAGGUGGCUCAAGAUUACAGCUCAGCCCUGGAGCAGGAGCAGCACAAGCUGCGGUGGUGCCAGAACUGCCUGUGCAGCGAGGGGGGCUCAGCCUCUGCAUCCCUGCAUCAGCUGCGGGCUCUGCACAAACGGGGAUCGUCCUUUGCUGCCAGUGUCUUCAGCCAAAACAGACAAAAGGAUGUGAGGGGUAGCCCCCUUUAUACCCUACACCCAGUGUGACUGAAGUAGGGGUGAAGGUGAUUCAAGGAUAAAUUCCAUGCCUAAAUCUGUCUUGACCACUGCAUUUCUUAAAAACGGCAAAGUUUAGCUAAAGUGUUAGCAAGUAUGAACUAAAGAUCUACUUCUCCCCUCCCUUGAGCUGUUCCUCUUCAGCCCAGAGGUGUCCAGGUCACCACAGCUGCUCUGUCAGUGGGGCUGGGCAGAGUGACCCUCAGAGGUUCCUUCCAUAGGAUUUUUCUAUGGUUGCCUUCAGGAGCUUGGUGACAUCUGACAACAGCUACAUCUAAUGGCACUGAAUUACAGAAAGUUCUUGAGAUGGCCUGCCCCUUAUCCAGGAAGGCCAGGCAUUCAUCUGCCCUCAGCACAGCCUUUGAAGUGUAAGAGGACUAAAGAGAAGAGUAAAACAAGAAAAAAAAAAAGAUUGCACAAGACAACAAAUGGAAACAAAAUCAUUGCAAGAAGAUACCAGGCAGGACACCUCUGGCAGCACCCAUUAGUUCCUGAGGGAGUACUGGGUACUGGCUGAAUCCAGUUUUGGGGCUGGUUAAGAAAAUCAACAUGGCACUGGAAAACCCAGCCAGCAGCAUUGUGGCAGCUGCCCUGGAAGGUGCCAGCCCGUGGUGUAGUCUCCAGCAGGGUAUGGGAAUUGUGCUCACUGGAAGAGCUGUUUCCCUCAAGCUUUUCAGAAAUUACUUAGCUCUUCACUCUUCACUGAGUAGGUGCAAACAGAUGUAUUUAUUAUCCCUAAACAGGCCAUACAAAGAGUUUUUAAUUUUUACUCGUUUACCUGAAGAUUAUUUUAUUCCAGGGCAUGAAAGGCUUCACGCCCCCUGCUCCAAAAUGUAGCAGUUAGCAAGCAGGAGUAAGACAGAUCACUGAAAGGCAAUCACACUUCUUUUCACAGUGAAAAUUACCAAAUAUUCAAAUGAUUCAUACAUUCAAGUAAAACCAAAAUAUACACAUGCAAAAUUUCAGUAAUUGAACACAAACAUGUCAUCAUUAAUCCAUUCUCAGUGCAAGUGAAUGCCAAGACAAUUCCUGAAUAUCCUGAAACGAGCACCUUAAGAGCUGAAAUAGACUCACCUGCUUAAUUAAUCGCUACCUUUGAUGAGGAGUGUGGCAAUUUGCAGAUAGCAAUAUUUAUACAAGAAAUGCCAUGGGCUUCAUUGUUGCUGCCCACCUCUCUACCCACCAAACCCACCUGAAUUAUAAUCACCACCUUCAGACAACCCCUGUUGCACACACAGAUUUCAUUCAUUCAAGUGCAUUGAUUUGGAGAUAUUUUUGUUUCCUAGUCCCUUUUUCCUCCCCAAGAUUUAAUUCAGUAGCUAUUACAGACGUGGCACUUUAUUCUGAGGAUUGUAUUUGUAUUUAUUCUUUGAGCUAAGUGUUUUGUUUAAUAUGCUUGUUGUAAAUAAACUCGAAUACCCCUUGUGGUAAAAGGCCACAAGUUCCUGCUCUGAGAAAUUGUUAAGUGAAAUUGUUUCCAGAUAAAUGUUUCCAUGUAGUAUUUGCCUCUUAAUUCACUUGAAUACCUUUGAAAGACUCAGGCUCCCAAAGACUGCAUGUAACAGUUGCAGGGAAGGAGGUUUAAAGGGAAGAAAACAGUGAAGAAAUACAGAAGCACUUAAAAGUUGGGAAAAUUAUUAUAUUGUCAUCUCCAAAAAGUGAAUUUUUCCCUGCAUACACGUAAGACAGCUGACUGGAGUCUCAGGUGGUUGGGAAUUGCAAGCUGCUUCUCUCUUCAGCACUGCAGAAAAUCCAGCCAUUUUAUUAUUUCCUAAAAGUAUUUCAUAUUCACCCCCACAAAGGAAAGACAUGACAGCUGCUGCAGUGCCCCAUGACUGCCUUCCACAACACACGGACGUGCGUUCACGAGGGCACAUUGUUCUGCAGGCCUUCUCACCUGGCUCCCAUCCCACCUCCCCGGGACCCCUUUCUAGGAGAGGGAGCGCUGUCCCUGAGCACAUCUGCCAGCAUUCCUGCAGCCCCUCUGCCCAGCCCAGCCCUGCUGCUCCCCUGCCAGCAGAGAACACGUCUGGAUGUGACCUCCAGCACAGCACUCCGUGUUCUCCACACAGGUCAGGCCUCCUCCACUCUUCCGCCCCUCUCUCCUUGCAUAGGAAACACAACAGGCUCCAAGGACACCACGCCCCAGCAGCAGCUUCCUCAUCAGCCUCCCACUGUAAAUAAUCCUGUGUUCUGUACUUGCCAUACAAAUGCUUAGAGGUAUUUACAUAAACCGGCAUUAUUGCUGCACUGACAAUCAGUCUGACAGAAGGGUUGAUUUGCUGUCAGCUGGAAAAUAAUGUGGCAAUGUUCCUGCCUAGCAAUAAUUGCUGUCAAUGCUGGAGUUGCCUGGAACUUGUUAACAGGACCAGAUUGCUGUGGAGGCUGGUCAGCAAAAGGUUCCUCACACAAAGCCUUUGUAAUCCCCAAGUGACCCUCCAGGGAAGUGCAGUGAGGACUGACAGCUGAGGCAGUGUCACACGUGUACAGAGCAGCACCACAAAUGACUGUGCAUUUACAGUAAUUUUAUUUACAAGUUACCAUGACACCUGUAGUACUACAGCUUUUAUAACACCAUUAGCAGUAAAGUAAGUCACAUCUCAGAAGAGUAGGAGGCAGCAGAGAAAAAUGUGCACAGAGAAGGCAGAAAGGCCAUUUAGCUAUGAGUGAAAGUAAGUCUUUCUACAGACUUGGCAAGAAGGAAUAUAUGUUGAGAAGAACAAGCUCUUCAGCCCUCUUAUUUCUACAGCAUGAAUUUUUUUGUACAUGACAAUUUAGUACAAUGAGUACUACACUAGCAGUCAAAUGCAAGUAAUAGGGAGAAAACUGUCUUAGUAUCUUACCCUUUUGAGCAUCCAGAAAUGAAACCCAAAGCUUCCCUUUGAAUGGGGUUACCCAGGGCUGGUUUAUUUGCAGAGCCAGUAGUGCAGAAUUGCUACUGGGGGGCAGGAGGGAACAGAACUUAUGAGUAGAGAGUUCCCAAGCAUUGCAUAUUGCCUGUGAGGUCUUAUCUGGUCUUAAGGAGUUGGUGAGCAGAGACAGUUGCAGCAUUCCACGUCUUUUUACAGUGCUGUGCUCUAAAACUGAGUACAGUUUAGCAGAAUCCUAAAAUCAAGCAGAGAUAAAAAGCCCUUCUGCUCUCUUAUCAUCAUUGGCUCUAAUGGUGCUGGUGUUGAGCCUGGGCCUUUCUCAAGAGGAACAAUGUGGAGGAGCAAAUCUGGAGAAACACUCCAGACUUAGAUGUAUCCUGAUGACAAGACUCUGAAGAAAAUAAGCUUAAUGCAGCAUCAGGUGCAACCCUUUUCUGCUUCAAAGUACAGCAACAGCUUCCAGAAAACAGCAAACAAGUGUUAUCCAGGACCUGGUUUUCCCCCAGAUGUCUUUAACAGCCUGGAGUGACUGUCAGUGCACACAAUCCAUGCUAGUGGCUGCAAGGACAAUGACAAAACAAGCUGCACAGUAAUAAUUAUUUCCACUAGUAACUACACACAGGAUGUAUUGCUUUUGGUACAAUGCCAUUUAUUGUCACAAGAAGAAAACCAGUGAUUAAGUUGAGCACAUGAAUUAUGCAGACCUUUGCCAUGCUGGAACAACAGCAUAUUUUACUUACAGAAAUGUCACCAAGUCAGCUGUAAAAACAGCUUAACACAGUUCCUCCAAAAUACCAAGCAUAUCCUCAAAUCCAAAUUUAUAUUACAUGUAGCUACAACAGAAUGAUUAAGAAAUGGUUUUGUUUUCAAUCCCCACUUUUGUCUGGAGUGCUGUGCUUAUACUGCACGGAGGCAACAGAAUCAAACCACGGAGCUCCAGCCACAACUGCAAUCCUCCUGAGUGGGCAAACUGGCCUGCACGUUUGUGUCCCCUCCACACCAGUGCAAACCUCCUCUGAAAGCCUGCAAAGGUACACAUGUGUACAAAAACUAACAAAAAGGUUUUUAAAACAGAGAAUGCAUUAGAAAGUCUAAAGUUUAAACUCUUGAGUCUGUGGUGCCUCAACUAUAAGUUAGAAUAUCUGAGUUUUAACACUUCCAGGAACAAAGAAAGGAUUUUUAGUCCAAAUUUCCUUUUCAGUACUGGCUAUCAAAAUUAAAGGUGACCUAGGAGAAAAGCUUGACUAAAAAACCUUCCAACUCUCUUGCAGUAUCAUCAGUUCAGUGAGUCUCAAGCCAAAAUUCUGAAUACUCAGCAUUUUUGCAUUUGCAAUAUUAAGGCAGAAAAAGAUGUUCACAGCAAGCCAUUUAGUCUUGGAUGUUACAAAAAAAUCACAAACAACAAACCAACGAAGACAAAUAAACAAAACAAUCCUCCUAAAAGGUGCAUCUCAAGUCUUUUAGUAAUAGCAAAUUUUAAAAAAUUCUAUGGCAUUUUCUUACAGCUUUGGGUUUUUUUGUGGGUUUUUUUGUUAAAAAAGCCUGAAUUUUCAGACAUAGAUCACACAUCACAGAUAGAGAUUAACAUCUUCCAUUAUUUCUAAGUUGUGUGUUCAAGGUCAGAAUUAAACUCCCAGGGUGGAAGAAGAGACCCCUGCAGUGGCAGCCCCGGCUGCUGCCAGGGCAGGGCUGGCAGCUCUGCAGCUCCCUGCUCCAUCCCGGAUCCUCCCCAGCUCAGCUGCCUGUCCCCAGGCCCGCUCUGCGGAGCACAACCGUGUCCUCACUCAGCUCUGCAGAGGCAAACAGUGGAAGAAGCAAAGAAAAGCAGAGCUGCGAGAGCGCAGGAACCGACAAGCUGCAAGGUAAGGAGAAGAAACAACAAAGGAGUGAAGUCAUCAAGCCAGAGCAGACAAGGGACUUUGGAGACAGAUCCCAACACGGAAAGUGUAAAGCCCUGAGGAAGAGCAGUGCUGCUGGAAGAGAACUCGGAUCAAAGGUCAGCCCAGUGCAAGCAGCACGGCAAGGAGACAGGGAGGAGCAGUGCUGCAGGCAGCCAACAGUGAGUGCACACAAACUCACAGACUGGCAAGAGACAUGGAAGUAUUGUUGUUAUUGUCUUUUUAGGUGAAAAAACACUGCAAACCCUGGCAACCAUUUCUUGCUCUUUUCAGGGAAAUCAGGAAUGGAAGACUUCAAGUCUCUCUUCAGCCUCCACAUACAAACACAAGCUACCUCUGUACUAAGCUAGAAGGAUCACACAUUUUUCUACCACACUAAUUAAUCAGCUGGAAAGAGAAGGAACUUCAGGAAAAAUGGGCUCUGUGUGUGUGCAUGUUGAGAGGAAAACAAGAGGCAGCUGUAGGGAACUUGCAGGAAGUUUUCAGUAUUCACAAGGUUCAUCAGUUUAACAGGAUCAAUAAUCUGCUGUUUAUCAUUGAAACACAAAUCCCAUAGAAUAUAUUUUUUUUGGUAACAAGUGGAAUUUGUUUAGACUGUUUAAACAUAGAGAAAAGUAUAUUGCCAAUAGCAAGAUGUACUGAAAAAAGGGCAGAGUUUUAGAAAACACUUGAAGGAAAGUUGUCAGUGUCAAUUUAUAAAUUACAGGGGAAAAGACAGAGAGGUUACAGAACAGUUCUCACAUCCAACUCCCAAGAUCAGGCUUCACACAAACAGCACGUGAGCAGGGCUGCCUUCCUGACGGGAUGUGAACACCCCUGAGCCCAGGGUGAGUUCAGCACACACUGAAGUUGCCUUUGGAAGCAGAGCUGAGGCUCUAGAACUCCUGAAGCUGCCUGGACUUGUGUGGUGAGAAGAGCAAGGUAACCACCAGCAGACCUGGCAUACACUGAUGAGAUGAUGUUUGUGAGUCUUCUCCAUGCCUCAAGUGGUUUUUAUUUUUUAAGCUUUUCAGUGUUACAUAUAUGCAAUGUAGUAGAAAGAAUAACUGAAGAUGAAACAUGCACAACACAGAAUUAUCUUUGGUCUGCAAGGUCCUGGGUCAGAGUUCUACACAGCUGGAAGCCACCAGACCCACAUGAAUCUCUUCCAAUAAACACGGCUUGUCCUCAAAAGCAGCUCCUUGCCAGCCUUCCUGAGCAUCUGAGUGCAGCACCUCCCCAGCACCGGGGGCUCACUGGAACCACCACCCCAACCCACGGCCCCAACAGCUCUGCAGUGCCCUCUACACCUGAGGCUUACAGAUGGAGCUUACAGCCACUUCUGGUGAAACACAGGAAAUUUGUGAUGUAUUUCAAAUGAAUCCCACUGAAACAAGGAUCACAACAAUGUUAAGUCAAUCAGGUAUUUGUCAAAAUCUUCCUGGAGCCAAGCAGUUCUGCAGUUGUACCUUGAAGCCCCUUCCUGAAGUGCAUGCUACAGGGAACACACCUUCUGCCAGGGGAACAGCCACAGCCAACAAAAAUGUUAAGAACACACAGAAACAUGGUGAAAAUGAAAUUCUGUAUUAUUCUUGGGGAAAAAAAAAAAGUCUGUAUUCUGCAGUGAAAGCCAAGGAGGGGAAUGAGAGAUGAAUUUUUACAAGCCAGUCUCAGAGCUGUUACACACCUGCCAGUUAUGGUUAAGCUUUCUUUAGUUUCAGGUCACAUUUUUUGCUUUUCAUAUUAACUAGAGAAGUUUUUAGCUGUCAUUAUCCAGCUACACCUUUUAAGAGUUAAAUUCUUUGAAGAAUUAAAAGUCCAUGACAGUGAUAUGAACUUACUUGCACUGCUCCCAGAAAUCAUGCAUUUCAAAGCCCUGGUUGGAGAAAAACCUUUUUGUAUUGAAAUGAAAACAUUUUGUUUCUAAGGAUUACACAAGUAAAAAUGUUCAAGAUUUCAUGGGAACAGUGCAAUAUGAAUAUCCAUAUAAACAGUCUGUGAAAAAAGCCUGUGAACCAUCAGGUAACACUGACAUUGAUUUGCAUCAUUCAGCGGGUCAAGAUUUCAUCAUUUUUUCACACCAAAGAUAAAACAUUCUGCCUGUCUAUAAAGAAAGCUCAUCUGUAGGUUUUAAUUUUUUUUUUUUUGGGAUGGCUUCCCUAAUUGAAUUGGUCCAAGUUGGAGCAGUUACACAGGGGGACACACCUUGAGCAGUCACAGCUCCAAGGAGGGGCGGGUGUGGCUCAGCCACUGGAGCAGCUCAGGCCAAAGCAAAGUCCCAGUCGUUCCAGACAGGCACGGAACUCUGCUGGUUUGGUAAUACAGGGACACAAUUUAAUGAUUUUCUUUGCAUUUGUUUUUACAAGAUUCAGAUGCCAAAAACAAAACAGAACAUUAAGUUACCUGAUUUAAAAAAGAAAAUCACAAACGUUUACAACAUCAAAAGAAUAAGACGAAAUAUAAACCUUUGCUACUUACAAUUGAUCUAUACAGAUUAACCAAAUCACAAAUCUGUCACAAUAUAAAUGUUUAAUUGUUACAAUGAAUAAGAACAUACAGAAAAUGAUUUAUUUAUUUUUUAUAAAAUCUUCCUUUGCUUUUUUAUUUUAAACUUACCAUUAACUAAAUUAGCUAUGCAGGACUUGUGGGGUACAUGACUAAGAAGGCACCAACAGUACAAAGCAAAGACAAAGCAGUUUGAGUAUUUUAAGAGUGCUCUACACUGAUACAACACGAGAAAAGGCAACAAUAGUAAGUAAACCAGCUGCAACCUUUAGAAAUUUGUUCUAGAUUUACACAUGUAGUCCAACUUUUACAUUUCUGCCGAUGUGUCACUUGGUUUGAUCACAGCACAUGCUACAAAAACCACUGUAAGCUUCACUUUACUAAUGUGCACUUUUCACUAAUUUAGUGUCUUGAUUUCAAUUGUUAACUAAACCAUUUUGAACCACAAAUGUAUUUAAAAC